rnacentral:rRNA from 1 species
GACGAACGCUGGCGGCGUGCCUAAUACAUGCAAGUAGAACGCACAGUUUAUACCGUAGCUUGCUACACCAUAGACUGUGAGUUGCGAACGGGUGAGUAACGCGUAGGUAACCUGCCUGGUAGCGGGGGAUAACUAUUGGAAACGAUAGCUAAUACCGCAUAAUAUUAAUUAUUGCAUGAUAAUUAAUUGAAAGGUGCAAUUGCACCACUACCAGAUGGACCUGCGUUGUAUUAGCUAGUAGGUGAGGUAACGGCCCACCUAGGCGACGAUACAUAGCCGACCGGAGAGGGUGAUCGGCCACACUGGGACUGAGACACGGCCCAGACUCCUACGGGAGGCAGCAGUAGGGAAUCUUCGGCAAUGGACGAAAGUCUGACCGAGCAACGCCGCGUGAGUGAAGAAGGUUUUCGGAUCGUAAAGCUCUGUUGUAAGAGAAGAACGGGUGUGAGAGUGGAAAGUUCACACUGUGACGGUAUCUGACCAGAAAGGGACGGCUAACUACGUG